rnacentral:rRNA from 1 species
CCUACGGGAGGCAGCAGUGGGGAAUUUUGCGCAAUGGGGGAAACCCUGACGCAGCAACGCCGCGUGGAGGAUGAAGUAUCUUGGUACGUAAACUCCUUUCGAUGGGGAAGAUAAUGACGGUACCCAUAGAAGAAGCCCCGGCUAACUUCGUGCCAGCAGCCGCGGUAAUACGAGGGGGGCAAGCGUUGUUCGGAAUUAUUGGGCGUAAAGGGUGCGUAGGCGGUUCAGCAAGUCUCGUGUGAAAUCUUCGGGCUCAACCCGAAGUCUGCACGGGAAACUACUGGGCUUGAGUAAUGGAGAGGUGAGUGGAAUUUCCGGUGUAGCGGUGAAAUGCGUAGAUAUCGGAAGGAACACCUGUGGCGAAAGCGGCUCACUGGACAUUUACUGACGCUGAUGCACGAAAGCUAGGGGAGCAAACAGGAUUAGAUACCCUGGUAGUCCUAGCCCUAAACGAUGAUUGCUUGGUGUGGCAGGUACCCAAUCCUGCCGUGCCGAAGCUAACGCGAUAAGCAAUCCGCCUGGGGAGUACGGUCGCAAGGCUGAAACUCAAAUGAAUUGACGG